CAAUAGCGUAUAUUAAAGUUGUUGCAGUUAAAAAGCUCGUAGUUGGAUUUCGGGGCAGCCUGGCUGGUCCGCCGCAAGGCGAGUACUGGUCAGCCGCCCUUCCUCUCGAAAGCCCCGACUGCUCUUCGUUGCAGUGGUCGGGUAGUUCGGGACGUUUACUUUGAAAAAAUUAGAGUGUUCAAGGCAGGCCUACGCCUGAAUACGUUAGCAUGGAAUAAUGGAAGAGGACCUCGGUCCUAUUUUGUUGGUUUCCAGGGCCGAAGUAAUGAUUAAGGGGGACAGUUGGGGGCAUUCGUAUUUAAUUGUCAGAGGUGAAAUUCUCGGAUUUAUGAAAGACGAACAACUGCGAAAGCAUUUGCCAAGGAUGUUUUCAUUAA
rnacentral:rRNA from 1 species